rnacentral:rRNA from 1 species
ACGAACGCUGGCGGCGUGCCUAAUACAUGCCAGUAGAACGCUGAAGGAGGAGCUUGCUUCUCUGGAUGAGUUGCGAACGGGUGAGUAACGCGUAGGUAACCUGCCUGGUAGCGGGGGAUAACUAUUGGAAACGAUAGCUAAUACCGCAUAAUAGCAGUUGUUGCAUGACAACUGUUUGAAAGGUGCAAUUGCACCACUACCAGAUGGACCUGCGUUGUAUUAGCUAGUUGGUGGGGUAACGGCUCACCAAGGCGACGAUACAUAGCCGACCUGAGAGGGUGAUCGGCCACACUGGGACUGAGACACGGCCCAGACUCCUACGGGAGGCAGCAGUAGGGAAUCUUCGGCAAUGGACGGAAGUCUAACCGAGCAACGCCGCGUGAGUGAAGAAGGUUUUCGGAUCGUAAAGCUCUGUUGUAAGAGAAGAACGAGUGUGAGAGUGGAAAGUUCACACUGUGACGGUAUCUUACCAGAAAGGGACGGCUAACUACGUG